GGAGCUGGGGAGGGGGCGUGGUCCGCGGGGGCGGGCCGGCCGAGGCCCCGCCCCCACGCGCUCCAAGCCAAUGGGGCGGCGGGCCGGAGGCCGGACGGCCGGGGAACGCGGCGCGCGGGGGCAGCCCCGACGGGAGCUUUGUGUCCGCGCGCGGGACUGGCGGGGGAGCCCGGGGGCUGCCCGCCGGUGCUGCCCGUCAGGUCGGGAAGCUACCCUGAGGAGUGGAGGGCUCGUGCAGGUCCCUGCCCUAACCACCAGCCGCAGGUCCGGCCCGAAGCUGACCUUCGUUCCAGAAUGCGGAAGGCCCGGGGCGCCUCCAUCUUGGCGGAGAGAAAGAGCUCCAGGAACGUCGAGAAGGAAUAAAAAGAGAGAAGAGACCACUGAGGACGCAGCAAGAACACAGCUGUCCACAAGCCAGGAAGGUGGUCCUCCACCAGGAACCCAAUUGCCAGCACCCUGAUCUUGGACUUCCCAGGCUCCAGAACUGUCCCCUCUCUCAGCACCUCCAUUUUUCAUCUGUAAAACGGGGACAACGUCAGCACAUCUCUCAGUAAAGGUGGUCAUGUUGUAGAAGUGAGAGAUUCAUGGAUGCUUAGGACACAGCCUGGUACACUACAGAGCUCACCGGAAGAGCAUUCGGGUGCAGAGCAGCAAGUGCCAAAUGCCCAGGAGCAGGAUGGAAUAGAAUGGACCAUAGACCUGCAUAAAGGAUCAGCCGACAAGGGUCCCAGUGCAGAGCCACAGCCUGGAUCUCAACCCUGUGUGAGGGGGACUACCAACCCCAAAAUCCCCCAAGUGGAAGACUGUACCCAACCCUGUCCAAGGACCCUGUUUCCCGAGGACGUGGCCAUCCACACGGCCGGCUGUUCACACACAUCAGGAUGACUUCCUCAAAGCAGAAUCUCUAGCUCUUGUCGGAUUCCUGUUUUUAAGUCUCUGGAUUGGUUGCCGCCCCACCCCCGCCAGCCCCUGCGCUCCAGGAACUCAGGGCUGGAUUCGGCCGGGCCCCCGAGGAGGUCAGUGGGCCCCAGGGGGGAGAAGGGCCACCUCCGAAGGCUUCCCACGCCAGGCCCUGGGAGGCCCCACCCUCCUCCUGCAGAGAGAGGUGACAGAGCCCAGCCCUAGGUCCCCUGAGGACGCACAUCACAAUGCCUUUUCCACCUGAGCCAGGCCUGGGAAGAGGCAUCAGGGAGGUCAGCACUCUGGUCCCAGGGCAACCAGGUGGCAUCAUGGGGACUCCUCGAGACAAGCGCUUGGCUGCUCAGAACCCGGAACUUGAUGCUGCCCGGAUACCAUUGCUGGAACAAAGGACGUCCAGGGCACCAAGAUGGAACCCUCCCCAAGGCCUCAGCCUGCCCUCCUGUAAAGUGGGUGACACCCUCAGGCUGGCCACGCUGUCAGCUGGGCGCCUGGCACGGAGCAAGCCGUGGGAUCUGAGGGUGUGUUUCCUUCCUCUCUCCCAAAGAGCCUCCUCCUCUUCCUCCGCCUCCAGGAACUCCAGUUCUUCCCCCCAUGUACAUCCAAGGUCCCCCGGGGGCUCAGCCAGGUGCGUCCUGGGAUGCUGCUUCCUCCCCUUCUGUGUGGACAGUUUGAUGGACGUGAAGCACACGUGCCCCGUGUGCCGGCAAGAGCUCUUCCGCUACCAUCGCCUGUGAACGUCCGCGAAAUAAAUGUCCAUUAAGUG